CCUAAUACAUGCAAGUAGAACGCUGAAGAGAGGAGCUUGCUCUUCUUGGAUGAGUUGCGAACGGGUGAGUAACGCGUAGGUAACCUGCCUUGUAGCGGGGGAUAACUAUUGGAAACGAUAGCUAAUACCGCAUAACAAUGGAUGACACAUGUCAUUUAUUUGAAAGGGGCAAUUGCUCCACUACAAGAUGGACCUGCGUUGUAUUAGCUAGUAGGUGAGGUAAUGGCUCACCUAGGCGACGAUACAUAGCCGACCUGAGAGGGUGAUCGGCCACACUGGGACUGAGACACGGCCCAGACUCCUACGGGAGGCAGCAGUAGGGAAUCUUCGGCAAUGGGGGCAACCCUGACCGAGCAACGCCGCGUGAGUGAAGAAGGUUUUCGGAUCGUAAAGCUCUGUUGUAAGUCAAGAACGGGUGUGAGAGUGGAAAGUUCACACUGUGACGGUAGCUUACCAGAAAGGGACGGCUAACUACGUGCCAGCAGCCGCGGUAAUACGUAGGUCCCGAGCGUUGUCCGGAUUUAUUGGGCGUAAAGCGAGCGCAGGCGGUUUGAUAAGUCUGAAGUUAAAGGCUGUGGCUCAACCAUAGUUCGCUUGGAAACUUCAAA
rnacentral:rRNA from 1 species